AACGAACGCUGGCGGCAUGCCUAACACAUGCAAGUCGAACGAUUGCCUUCGGGUGAUAGUGGCGCACGGGUGCGUAACGCGUGGGAAUCUGCCCUUAGGUUCGGAAUAACAGCUGGAAACGGCUGCUAAUACCGGAUGAUAUCGCGAGAUCAAAGAUUUAUCGCCUGAGGAUGAGCCCGCGUUGGAUUAGGUAGUUGGUGGGGUAAAGGCCUACCAAGCCGACGAUCCAUAGCUGGUCUGAGAGGAUGAUCAGCCACACUGGGACUGAGACACGGCCCAGACUCCUACGGGAGGCAGCAGUGGGGAAUAUUGGACAAUGGGUGCAAGCCUGAUCCAGCAAUGCCGCGUGAGUGAUGAAGGCCCUAGGGUUGUAAAGCUCUUUUACCCGGGAAGAUAAUGACUGUACCGGGAGAAUAAGCCCCGGCUAACUCCGUG
rnacentral:rRNA from 1 species